GCCCUCGUAGUUCAAUGGAUAGAAUAUCUCCCUCCGAAGGAGGCGAUGGCCGUUCGAAUCGGCCCGAGGGCA
rnacentral:tRNA from 1 species